CUCGCCGCGUGGGUCGGGCUCGCCGGCCUGGGAGGCCAGCAAUCGGCGGUACGAGGCCAGCCGGCGGGG
rnacentral:tRNA from 1 species